GACGUUCUCCCCUGGUGAAUGACUUGUUUUUGUGUAUUUUCUUUGUCUCUCAUGAUGCAUCUGCACUGACCUGCAGAUUUUAUUUUGUCCUUUUUGCAGACUGGAAGUGUCUCCAGAGGCGCAACCCACAGCCAGGCUUCCUUCCCCCACUGACUCCACUUCCUUUCUUCCUCCUCUCCCUUCUAGCUCUGGCCAGGCACCUGUCCCCUCUGAAUUGGGACAUGGUGCAGACACACAGUCCUCUGAGAGUGCUUCUGUCUUCUCCUCUCUCUCAUCUCCCAUAGCAGCUCCCAUUUCCACAUCGACUCCAAUUGAAAGCUGGCCUCUCGUAGACAGGGGCCAGGCCAAGUCUGAAGAACCACCCUUGCUCCCUAAGGCAGAGUUGCAAACUGAGAGUUUAACACCGGUUCCAAAUUCUGGUUCUUCUGCCCUGGGAUCACUUUUCAAACAGCCAUCCUUUCCAGCAGAUAAAGGGACAGAAGAUUGUCUGAUGGGCAGGACCCAUGAGACAGGCACAGAGAACACCAGCAGCCCUGAGUUGGAGGAGUCUCUCCCAGAGCAGCCUGAAACAGGGCGACAAGACAAAGAACUUCUGAGAUUCCCCCGCAAAAAACAAGACUACAGCCCAUCAUCUGGAGAGGUCCAGGAAGUACCGUUUGCCCUUUCACUCAGCAGUGAUGGAGCUGUGAGCCCCGCUGAGGAGCUUGCAGCAGGAGGAGACAGAGACUUGGAGAGUCAGGCUGGGUCUCUUGGGGAGAGCAAAGCUAGGGAUGCAGUUGAAGAAGUGGCGCCCCCUCUUCCCAUGGGACAAUUGGUCCCUUCCAUUGAUUCCAUGACGCAGAAGCUGGAAGAGAUGGGUCUGAACCUCCACAAGGGCCAGAAGAAAACCAAGAAGCGCGUGUCAUUUUCUGAGCAGCUCUUCAUGGAAGAGGCGGUGGAGGGGGCUGCCCUGCUGGUGGAAGGACACAGCAGUUGUCCCCAGGAGCUGACCCCUGCAUGGGCUGUUGCUGGAAACGCGUCUGAUGGAGAGCCUCCUGAGUCUCCCCACGCAGAGGACUCAGAAAGGGAAUCGGUGACCACACCUGGGCCAGCGACGUGCAGUGCGCCAGCCUCCCCGGCGGAUCACCUCCUCCUCCCCUUCCAGGAGGAGAGUUUCUCCGAAGGCCCCAUGAGUGAAGCAAGCUCAGCAAAAGACACUCCACUCUUUAGGAUGGAGGGAGAGGAUGCCCUUGUGACUCAGUAUCAGAGCAAAGCCAGUGACCACGAAGGUUUAUUGUCUGACCCCUUGAGUGACCUUCAGUUGGCCUCAGAUUUUAAAUCUCCAAUCAUGGCCGAUCUGAACUUAAGCCUUCCUUCCAUUCCUGAAGUCGCAUCGGAUGAUGAAAGAAUAGAUCAGGUUGAAGAUGAUGGAGAGACAGCAAAGUCGUCAACUCUGGACAUAGGAGCUUUGUCCUUGGGCUUGGUAGUCCCCUGUCCUGAGAGGGGAAAGGGGACUAGUGGUGAGGCAGAUAGGUUGGUACUGGGGGAGGGCCUGUGUGAUUUCAGGCUGCAAGCACCCCAGGCAUCUGUGAGAGCUCCUUCAGAGCAGACCACAGAGUUCGGAAUUCACAAACCACAUCUUGGCAAGAGCUCAAGCUUGGGUAAACAGCUGCCAGGCCCCAGUGGUGGCGAGGAAGAAAAACCGAUAGGAAAUGGGAGUCCAAGCCCCCCUCCUGGCACGUCCCUGGACAAUCCUGUACCCAGCCCCUCCCCUUCUGAGUUCUUUCCUGUCCCACACUCUUUCCCCAGCUCUGCACAUUCUGACACUCACCACACCAGCACAGCAGAAUCUCAAAUAAAAGCCACAGCAGAGGGCUCCGCUGGUAGAGUUGAAAAUUUUGGCAAGAGGAAGCCACUCCUCCAGGCCUGGGUCUCACCCUCGGAGACACAUCCAGUCUCAGCUCAGCCAGGCGCUGGAACUGGGUCAGCCAAGCACAGGUGAGAGAUGGGAGAGAUUAUCUAUGUAAAUGUGAGCAAUGUCCCCCUUUGCUUCCUACCUGCAGAGGUUACGGCUUUCUAACCACACAACCCGCCUGUCACUGUCCUGCUGGUAGGGCUGCCCCUUGUGGUGGUAAUACCUCAAGACACUGCUGCGUUUAUAGCAAGAACAUAAUAGUAGUCUGUAAAUACAGCUUAGGAAUUGUUCUGCAAGGUCAGAUUUGGAGCUCUCACAUUGCAGAAACGCAAUGCCACCCGUAUCUUAACUGUCUCAGAACUAACUGGCAUUGAGUGGUAGUAGUAUCUAGCAGUGUCAAAAACUUCUUCAAGCACUACCCAAUGUGAAGCUUAUAUGUUUGUUUUGAGCUGUCUUUACUGUGGAGGGACAGAAGCCUCUGCAGAGUUUUACAGUGAACGCCUAGGCUCUAGUUGACUUCAAAAAAUAAGAGACUGCCUUUAAUGUUCUGAUGUUUGUAACAAGACCAAGGGUCCCGUGAAGAUAUCAGGACAUCUGGACAAGGACAUGCUUUACUGGCUUGCAUGUGGCAGCCCUAUCCUGACUGCUUUUGUUUCCACAGGAACUGAGACUUUGGAGUGCGUUGGCCCAGAGAUGAGGGCAGCAUGUGACCCACCUGCCCCUUGUCUGGCUUACUGGCUGCCAUCUUUGCAGUGGGCAGUUUCUCAGUUUCGCCAUGACCGGAGGGUCUAAAGAUCCUUUUCCCCUUCUCUUUAGACUUCAUCCUGUGAAGCCAAUGAAUGCAACGGCCACCAAGGUUGCUAACUCCAGCUUGGGAACUGCCACCAUCAUCAGUGAGAACUUGAACAACGAGGCCAUGAUGAAGAAAUACAGCCCCUCGGACCCUGCAUUUGCAUAUGCGCAGCUGACCCAUGAUGAGCUGAUCCAGCUGGUCCUCAAACAGAAGGAAACGAUAAGCAAGAAGGAGUUCCAGGUCCGCGAGCUGGAAGACUACAUUGACAACCUGCUUGUCAGGGUCAUGGAAGAAACCCCCAAUAUCCUCCGCGUCCCGACUCAGGUUGGCAAAAAAGCAGGAAAGAUGUAA
rnacentral:sRNA from 1 species